AUUCAGUAACUUACACGUAUUUGGAUCUCCCGUAGUUCUGCAGUACCGGCCAAAACUGUGGGGCUCCAUAAAUGUGCUGGAAUACACGGAAAGGUGAGGUGGGAGGACUGACGGAUGGGUCAGAAAACGAAAUUUCAAAGCAUUAAACUUCGUAAAUUGUGGGGACCAUCCGCGCUUAACUGAGUUGCAGCUGCUUAGAAACGCCACAGAGGUGAGUCAUGGGAUGGCAGUGAGGUCAUAGAACUGCGAGGCCAAGCUCAACAGUCACACCUGCUCUGCCAAAACUGAGGCACAGGGCAAGGAGUAGCAGGACUCCAGGGUCUCCAGGACCUGGAAUUUGGUCCAGGCCCCACUUUUCAAGCAUCGGCCCAUAGGAACAAGAGGAUGCAGAAGGCACCAGGAACCGUUAGAAAUCAACCCAUAGGAACAAGAGGUGCAGAAGGGGCCAGGAACCGUUCGGGAGGUAGGGAAGAUCCUUCAGAAGAGUAGUGCUUAGUAGCUCCGACCCCAAAGCCCACAGUCACCCACUGAGGACACAAGGCAGAUCACGAGGCAAGAGCCUGCCUUCUGACACAGUCAACGGCCUCUACACUUCCUCUUCCAGUACAUUUUACUUUCGAGGGUUCUUUUUCACAGCUUCCAGAGUCCAGCAGCCGAAGGGACGAGCGCUGCGGGCCCUGUCGCCAGGGAGCUGCAGCCAGCGCCCAAGCUUUGCUUUCACAGGAUUUGGCUAGGCGGGCUGCCAGACAGACCCAUUUCUCUGGAAACAUGUGACGUGGGGAGGUGACCUGCAUUUCUUCUGAUAUAAGACUACAGAUUAUGAGUUCGAAAACAGGGGCGAUAUCAGUCGAACCAACGACCCAGCUUCAGGACCUCGCGGUCCCCGAAAAACCGUCCCUUGGGAAGGGAUCCACACCGUCGCCCGAAGUUAGGCGCAACCGGAAGGGGCGGGGCUCCCCCGGACGCGGAGCUUCUGCCAGCAUGGCUUCUCGUGGGGUCAUUGGGGUUUUCCUCCUCUCUGCUCUCCCCCUCUUGUGUCUGGAGCUCCGGCGUGGGAUCCCCGAUCUAGGCGUUAAAGAUCUAAUUUUGCUGUGUGGUCGGAUUUUCUUACUGCUUGCUCUUCUUACCUUAAUUAUUUCUGUGACUACCUCAUGGCUUAAUUCAUUUAAAUCGCCCCAAGUGUAUCUGAAAGAAGAAGAAGAGAAGAAUGAGGAAAAACAAAAACUUGUCAGAAAAAAACAACAAGAGGCGCAGGGUGAAAAGGCCAGCAGAUACAUAGAGAAUGUUCUAAAACCUCACCAGGAAAUGAAGCUGAAAAAACUGGAAGAACGCUUUUAUCAGAUGACGGGUGAAACCUGGAAGUUGAGCAAUGGCCAUAAGCUUGGGGGUGACAAAGAUUUGGUGCUGGAAAAUGAGAGCCAGACGGCUUUUAAAACAUCAAACAGAGAAGCAGCAAAGAGACGAAACUUGCCUAAGCUGUUAACCAAAGUCUCGCCAUCUGCUGAGCAGCCCACGCGGAAGGAGGUUCUUGAUCUACCUGAAGAACCUCCUGAAACAGCUGAAGAAGUAGUUACUGUUGCCCUCCGAUGUCCAAGUGGGAGUGUCCUGAGAAGAAGAUUUUUUAAGUCUUGCAGUUCACAGGGUAUCCAUCCUUAACACUGUGCACCCGCACGGAACGCUACAGUGCACUGCUGGGCCAGGGUACUGUGGUGGGAGCUCGGGAACGGUGCUCUUCCACUGACCUCUAUGCUUCGGCUCUUGGCUCAGAAAGACUGUAUUUGCUAACAAAAACAGGCCUUUGUCAAAUUUGAGCAAGACUUCAAAUGUAUUUAGAGUCUCCUUUUCACAACAAAACAGAGAGACAUACAGCAUACUAUUUGGUCAGGAAUGUGUCUGGUAAGAAUUCUGUAAACCAAA